rnacentral:rRNA from 1 species
CCUACGGGAGGCAGCAGUAGGGAAUCUUCCGCAAUGGACGAAAGUCUGACGGAGCAACGCCGCGUGAACGAUGAAGGCCUUCGGGUCGUAAAGUUCUGUUGUUAGGGAAGAACAAGUGCUAGUUGAAUAAGCUGGCACCUUGACGGUACCUAACCAGAAAGCCACGGCUAACUACGUGCCAGCAGCCGCGGUAAUACGUAGGUGGCAAGCGUUGUCCGGAAUUAUUGGGCGUAAAGCGCGCGCAGGCGGUUUCUUAAGUCUGAUGUGAAAGCCCCCGGCUCAACCGGGGAGGUCAUUGGAAACUGGGAAACUUGAGUGCAGAAGAGGAAAGUGGAAUUCCAAGUGUAGCGGUGAAAUGCGUAGAGAUUUGGAGGAACACCAGUGGCGAAGGCGACUUUCUGGUCUGUAACUGACGCUGAGGCGCGAAAGCGUGGGGAGCAAACAGGAUUAGAUACCCUGGUAGUCCACGCUGUAAACGAUGAGUGCUAAGUGUUAGAGGGUUUCCGCCUUUAGUGCUGAGUUAACGCAUCAAGCNCNCGCGNGGAGAGCGNGAGAGUAAGUAAUAAUUAGAGUAGAGNGNGNGNGNGCGAGACGACGACGAGGAGAGG